rnacentral:rRNA from 1 species
GACGAACGCUGGCGGCGUGCCUAAUACAUGCAAGUUGAGCGCUGAAGGUUGGUACUUGUACCCACUGGAUGAGCAGCGAACGGGUGAGUAACGCGUGGGGAAUCUGCCUUUGAGCGGGGGACAACAUUUGGAAACGAAUGCUAAUACCGCAUAAAAACUUUAAACACAAGUUUUAAGUUUGAAAGAUGCAAUUGCAUCACUCAAAGAUGAUCCCGCGUUGUAUUAGCUAGUUGGUGAGGUAAAGGCCCACCAAGGCGAUGAUACAUAGCCGACCUGAGAGGGUGACCGGCCACAUUGGGACUGAGACACGGCCCAAACUCCUACGGGAGGCAGCAGUAGGGAAUCUUCGGCAAUGGACGAAAGUCUGACCGAGCAACGCCGCGUGAGUGAAGAAGGUUUUCGGAUCGUAAAACUCUGUUGGUAGAGAAGAACGUUGGUGAGAGUGGAAAGCUCAUCAAGUGACGGUAACUACCCAGAAAGGGACGGCUAACUACGUG